rnacentral:lncRNA from 1 species
GGAGUAGGGCUAUAAAUGAGAAACAAUACUGUGACAGCCACCUAGCACCUUUCUACAGAAUCGAGCUUAUGACGAGUAGCGAGGAUGAUCACUAUAUAAGUGGUGGUUCAAGUAUACAUCUGUCAUGUUAAAUGGCCGCAGAUUAAUUUGUGGUAACAUCAUGACUCAUGCUUUUACAACAAGGUUGUUUCAGAAGCCAAAGUGGAGAAGCCAAAGUGGAGCAUUUCUGAUUCAAGCGGAAUUAGUGAACUUUCAAGCGGAAUCAGUGAUUUUGGAGCGGAAUAUAAUUUCGCUUGAACAUAGACAAUUUCAAGCGGAAUAAGGUGUAUUUCAAGCGAAAUAAGGCACUUUCAAGCAGAAUAUGCUUUUUCAUGCGGAAUCAAGUUGAACUUUCAAGCGGAAUCAGGCUGUUUACACGAGAUCGGACCUAAAAACUCAGAUUUCUCCUAAACGGCUAGGAAUUAGGAGCUGAAACUUGGUAGGGUUAUAGAUCAGGUGUUUUCGCAAAACAUAUUAAAAAAUCAUGAAUUUUUUACCGUAAAAACCCGUUCAAUUUGACGAUUUUCAGUGAAAAAGUGAUAAAAAUGAAAAAGAUGAAGAAAUAGAUGAAAUUCGGAUCUGAAAUCAAUGAAAUCUGCUAGGAAUCUAUGUGUUUGAUCAGUGCAAUCGAGCUCCUGCUCUUAUACCACUUGUAGGAUCGGUUUUGACACCGUACGAUUGCGUAACGAACGUGUAACGUGCGGAAUCCGUACACGAACGUGACCGAACACACAAGAACGUACUAUAACCGUGAUUCAAUUGAUUAUGACGAGUACAAAGUGCCGAGAAUCACGUGAGGGAACAUUCUCUCUAUAGACUUUCUCUCUCUAAGAUUCGCUCUCUAAUUCCCAAAUGAGCAAAAGUCUUAAACUCUACCACUAACUCCUCUAUUUAUAGGCCAAGGGAUAUAAUGAGAAAUCUCAUUAUUUACAAAAUUGCCACCUUGCCUUUACUACAUACUACAAUGUAAGCACUAGAUUUAAACAGUUUCAGCUACGACUCGCAUUGACGGAGGCAAUAGACAUAUACUGCACUAACAAUAUCAACCUUCAUUUUAGAUUUCUAUAUUUUGCUUUAAUUCCAUUUACCCUACAUGUCUGAUGCAACUACCCGCAAAGGUUUUUAUGUGUAUGAUGAUAAACGCAAAGCGAGUCUUGAUACCGAAAUAAAGAAGUAAAUCGAUAAAGCAAGGUAAAUUCCUGGCAUCCCAGUUGAUCCUAAUAGGGAUGAGCAUGUUACCCGUUCGAUACCGAAAAGAAGGGAAAAUUGGUACCGGUAUCGGUACCAUUUAUCGGGGAAAAUGGGUACUGGUACCACAUAUACCUGGUACGGUUCGGUAUCGGUACCCGGUACCAAAUGCUCAUCCCUAAAUUCUAAGGUAUUUACUAUUCAUUCACGUCACUAAUUUCUAAACAGUUAUAAAUAUCUCCAAACGAUGCAACGAUAUGGAAACUCGAGUAAUUAGUUUGUGACAACCAAUGUCUUCACACGAUAUGAUGAGUAAAGUUCAGAAUCCUACAUUUUUGAAGAGUGUGAAAGAAAGUGUAUAAGUUUAUAACUAAUUAGGUUUGAUUUUGUUUCAGCUGGGGAAAUUACCAGAUAAAGACAUAAUAGAAAUGGUGUUUUUUCCUGUUGUGAAUGAGGCGUUUAGAGUAUAUGCAGGGGUAUUACAGUAAAAACAUCCGAUUUGGAUAUCGAUGGUGUUAUGGGAAUGGAAUUUCCACCUUACAGAUUCUUUUUCAUCUUUUGAUCAAAACUUUUUUUUUUAAUUUUAAUUUUAGUUUUGAAUAUCAACAUGUGUUUUGUACAGGGGAGUGAUUAUGUUAAGGGGAGAUUUGGUUGGAUCUAAGUACAUUCAUAGGAGGUUGAAUGAGUGGUGAAUGAUGUACGGGGUUCUUCAAGCCGUGCAACUAUUUGGCUCAGAGAGUUGCACAUGGGGCUCCUUUGGUGCUUGAUGUCAACCAGAUGAAUGGCCUUACAACUGAUCCACAAAUGCUUGAUGUCGCUUCAAAUAACGUCAGAAGGGAGGCAUCCACCAUCUCCCAUAAUGUCAGUGAAACAAGUUAUUUCUUCUCUUUAUUUAGUUGAUUAUUUUGAAUGGGUUAUUGUGCUUAAGGCUCUUAUAUGUACUUCAUGUUGUUUUGUUAUCAAAUUUGGUUCAGUAACCAACAAUCCAUAGCCUAUCUGUUUGUUUAAAUUAGAUCGGACAUGCUUCGAUGAACUUCAUGUUGUUUUGUUGGAUUAGAUAUGAAAAAACUUCUUUACUUGCAAAAAAAACCCAUUUUAAUAAUU